UGGAUGCCUUUUCUGCACCCUGUGCCUCGUAUACUCAACCUCUGAGGGCUGCACCAGCCUGGCCCCAGCAGGUCGCACGGCACGACCCACUCCGGACACUGCUGUGUUCACCUUCUGGCGUCCUGUCACGUUGUUGGUUCUAGAGCAGUAGCUGCUUGCAGAGUGAUACUACAACUUUGUAAGGUCCACAAGCUCCCCGCUGCUUUUGUUUGUGCGUAGUAAAAGUUGAAUUUUGAGAAGGGGAAAAAGGGUGCUUCCUUGAUUUUUAUACUCAAAAAACUAUAAACAAUUUGAGAUACCAAAAUGCACUUUAUUUUUAGCUUACAUCACGAGAAAGAGCAGCAAAUGAUUAUAACCAGAAGUUAAAGGAAAAAUUUCAGUACCAUCCACAUGUGAAACGGAUUGCUCGCCACCGACAUCUGCCAAAAUCUAUCUACAGCCAGAUUCAGGAGCAGCGUGUUAUGAAGGAGGCUCGUCGCCGCAAGGAAAUGAAUCGUCGUAAACAUAGCAAGCCUGGAUCUGUGCCAGUUGUGUCAGAGAGGAAGAAACACGUAGUGGCGGUUGUGAAAUAAUGUUUUGUCUUCCUACCAAGCUUGAUAUAUAAUUAUUUGCUACUUUUGAUUUGGGAACUCUGUAAAUAAAAGUCCUGGCCCUGGUUAAUAGU
rnacentral:lncRNA from 1 species